UUCAUAAGAUGUUAUAUUUUACAUACUCCGUUUGCAUAUUUUAUGUUGUGCCGGCAAGUGGUCAAAAUGAAUUAUGGGGCACAUAGUAUAAGAUUUCGAUUCAAGCUGCAGAAAAAAGUGCUGGCAAUUUGUAAAAGAAAAAAAAUAACGCCGGCGAAUAAUACAAUUACGGCUAAACCCAAAACGAUAAUGACCCGGUAGGACACACACAGGAGGGUUGAAUAUUAAACUGAGCGGUCCAUGCGACCAUAAAGGCAUGCCAUUGUUUAUACGAUCCAGUGGUAUAGUUUGGGUAAAAGAAUACGAAUUCUCUAGGGAAUCAACAUAAUAUAAUAUGUCACAACCCUGAUCCUGACCCCACAACCAUUGCAAUGCUCUGAGAACUGUUUAUUCUGAAAA